rnacentral:rRNA from 1 species
CCUACGGGAUGCAGCAGUGAGGAAUAUUGGUCAAUGGACGCAAGUCUGAACCAGCCAUGCCGCGUGCAGGAAGACGGCUCUAUGAGUUGUAAACUGCUUUUGUACGAGGGUAAACGCAGAUACGCGUAUCUGUCUGAAAGUAUCGUACGAAUAAGGAUCGGCUAACUCCGUGCCAGCAGCCGCGGUAAUACGGAGGAUUCAAGCGUUAUCCGGAUUUAUUGGGUUUAAAGGGUGCGUAGGCGGUCGGGUAAGUUAGAGGUGAAAUCCCGAGGCUCAACUUCGGAAUUGCCUCUGAUACUGUUAGGCUAGAGAGUAGUUGCGGUAGGCGGAAUGUAUGGUGUAGCGGUGAAAUGCUUAGAGAUCAUACAGAACACCGAUUGCGAAGGCAGCUUACCAAGCUACGUCUGACGUUGAGGCACGAAAGCGUGGGGAGCAAACAGGAUUAGAUACCCUUGUAGUC